rnacentral:rRNA from 1 species
AGUCCGCGGACUAUUAGCUAGUUGGUAGGGUAACGGCCUACCAAGGCGACGAUAGGUAGCCGACCUGAGAGGGUGAACGGCCACACUGGAACUGAGAAACGGUCCAGACUCCUACGGUAGGCAGCAUUAGGGAAUAUUCCGCAUUGGGCGAAAGCCUGACGGAGCAACGCCGCGUGAGUGAACAAGGUUUUCGGAUCGUAAAGCUCUGUCAACAGGGACGAAACUUUACGGUACCUGAGAAGGAAGCCACGGCAAACUACGUGCCAUCAGCCGCGGUAAUACGUAGGUGGCAAGCGUUGUCCGGAAUAACUGGGCGUAAAGCGCAUGUAUACGGCAUGAUAAGCCCAAUGUGAAAUGUAGGGGCUCAACCCCUGCACUGCGAUUGGAACUGUCAAGCUUGAGUGCAGGAUAGGCAAAUGGAAUUCCCAGUGUAUCAGUGAAAUGCUUAUAGAUUGGGAGGAACACCCUUGGCGAACGCGAUUUGAUGGACUGCAACUGACGUUGGGAUGCGAAAGCUAUGUGAGCAAACUGGAUUAGAUACCCCGGUUGUUCUAGCCGUCAACGAUGGAUACUACGUGUAGAGGGUUCCACCCCUUCUGUGCCGCAGCGAACGCA